rnacentral:rRNA from 1 species
CUAGUCCUACGGGGCGCAGCAGUGGGGAAUAUUGCACAAUGGGGGAAACCCUGAUGCAGCGACGCCGCGUGAGUGAAGAAGUAUUUCGGUAUGUAAAUCUCUAUCAGCAGGGAAGAAAAUGACGGUACCUGAGUAAGAAGCCCCGGCUAACUACGUGCCAGCAGCCGUGGUAAUACGUAGGGGGCAAGCGUUAUCCGGAUUUACUGGGUGUAAAGGGAGCGUAGACGGCGAUGCAAGUCUGAAGUGAAAGCCCGGGGCUCAACCCCGGGACUGCUUUGGAAACUGUA